AUUAGUAAAAUGAAACUUGUAUAAUUAAAAGAAUGUGUGUUCCUAGCUAUAUACUUGUUUCACUUGCAAUCGAUGCUAAUAAUAAUUUAUAAAUCACUCUCAUAUUUCACAAACUAUUUUUCAUUAAACUAUGGGAUAACAAAUAUAAAUGAGGUAUAGAGUAGACAAACCAUUUGAUUCUUUUUUUUUAUUUUAAAUUCAAACAAUAAAACGUUAUAAAUACCCUUUUAUAUUCCACUUUCUUGUAUUAUAUUCUAUCAAUCCAGUGAAAAUUUAAAAAUUGAGAACGUGGUUUGCAACAUUGGCAGUAGCCUAUGAGUGUCGUCACCGUCUUCCACGUGUAACGUUUAUCUACCACACAAGGAUGACUAAGAUUGGUGGAGGCCCAACUGUUUCCUCGAAUAACUAUUAUUUCAGUUGACACGACUUAUUAGUGGUAUUAGGAUUUAUGUUAAUAUCUCUAAUUCUUAUAUUUUGUGUAUGGAAAAUAAUGUCUUUAUAUUUAUAUAUUAAAAAGUGUCUUGUUGGUCGAGCACGAUGUAGGGCAUACCGCGAGCAGGCGAAUGAGUUCAUAUAUAACUCAUCCGCCACUCUUGAAUUUGAACUGACUAGCUGUCAAAUAUGUUUAGAGAAUUUUCAAAAUAAUGAAAAAAUUCACAAAUUAUCGUGUGAACAUACAUUUCA